GUGCUCUUAAUGUUUCGCUUAAAGAUUUAAAUAAGUUAAACGUUAUUCACGUCGCUGGGACAAAAGGCAAAGGCUCAACUUGUGCUUUUGUGGAAUCUAUACUAAGAGAACUUGGUUUUGCUACCGGUCUUUAUACUUCACCACAUCUAGUAGAGGUGCGUGAACGUAUCAAAGUUAACGGGAAAAGUCUAUCACGAGAUGACUUUGCUUUCUGGUUUUGGAAAUGCUUUAAUCGUCUUAAGGAAAAGAAAGUUUAAAGCGAGUUGCACGGCAUUAUCAACUUUAGUAUUGACUUUAUUAGGUUUCGGCUCCCUCUUAUUUUCGUUUUUUAACGGUGAUGGCCUUCAAGAUUUUUAUAGAAGCCAAAGUAAAGCGCAGUUGUUUGAACUUUUUUUGAUUUAUUUUAGUAUAUAUUGAGAUCGACGUCGCAGUCGUUGAAGUUGGUAUUGGCGGUGAAUACGACGCAACAAACGUCAUUCCGAACCCGAUUGUCUGUGGAGUUACCCGUUUGGGUCUUGCGAUUUAUUUUAAUUAGUAUUAUUUGUACCUCCUUUACUUCGAUAUUAUUUCGCUUUGGUAAAGAUUCUCAGGAAAAAGUUCAAGAUUUUUAUUUUUGCUUGAAGUUUAUAAUAAACUAA